AUUGAACGCUGGCGGCAGGCCUAACACAUGCAAGUCGAGCGGAUGAAGGGAGCUUGCUCCUGGAUUCAGCGGCGGACGGGUGAGUAAUGCCUAGGAAUCUGCCUGGUAGUGGGGGAUAACGUCCGGAAACGGGCGCUAAUACCGCAUACGUCCUGAGGGAGAAAGUGGGGGAUCUUCGGACCUCACGCUAUCAGAUGAGCCUAGGUCGGAUUAGCUAGUUGGUGGGGUAAAGGCCUACCAAGGCGACGAUCCGUAACUGGUCUGAGAGGAUGAUCAGUCACACUGGAACUGAGACACGGUCCAGACUCCUACGGGAGGCAGCAGUGGGGAAUAUUGGACAAUGGGCGAAAGCCUGAUCCAGCCAUGCCGCGUGUGUGAAGAAGGUCUUCGGAUUGUAAAGCACUUUAAGUUGGGAGGAAGGGCAGUAAGUUAAUACCUUGCUGUUUUGACGGUACCAAAAGAAUAAGCACCGGCUAACUUCGUG
rnacentral:rRNA from 1 species